CAGCGACAUCUAUCAGUUUCUGAAGGGUAGAGAACCCAGGACCUUCACGUUGAACAAAGGAGAGAGACCCCCUUUUCCUCCAGUUUGUUUACCAAUGAACGAACGCGUGUCUACAGCAGAGUGGGGGGGAAAUAAAGGAAGCGAACGCGUAAAUAGAAGCAAAGUCAAAUUCAAAUUAAAAGUGCUGGCUGCCUAAAGCCAUCAGACCUUGACGACUAUGUUUUCUACAACAACUGUUUUACAAUUCCACUCGACUGUUGCUUCGGAAGGACUUGCAGCCUGCUGGCCCCCACCUUCAAAACCAGCCCCCUCCACAUCUUCAAGGAUUCACAUACCGCCAAGGAAUUUUCAGCGGAUGAGAUGUUGUACCCAUAUCUCUGAAGACAAGAUAGAGGGCGUUUUAAAUGUGUGAAGAUGAUGAAGAUAAAAUAAAAUGUUGUGUGUGUGUGUGUGUGUAUACAAACCACACACACACACACACACACAGAGAG